rnacentral:sRNA from 1 species
GCCGGGUGUGGUGGUGCACUCCUGUCAUCCCAGAUACUUGGGAGGCUGAGGCAGGAGAAUCACUUGAACCUGGGAGGCAGGGGUUGCAGUGAGUCAAGAUGGUGCCACUGCAACUCCAGCCUGGGUGACAGAGCGAGACUCCGUCUCAA